UACGGAGGGUGCAAGCGUUAUCCGGAUUUACUGGGUUUAAAGGGUGCGUAGGUGGGUUGGUAAGUCAGUGGUGAAAUCUCCGUGCUUAACAUGGAAACUGCCAUUGAUACUACUGAUCUUGAAUUUUCAGGAGGUAAGCGGAAUAUGUCAUGUAGCGGUGAAAUGCUUAGAUAUGACAUAGAACACCAAUUGUGAAGGCAGCUUACUACAGGAAUAUUGACACUGAUGCACGAAAGCGUGGGGAUCAAACAGG
rnacentral:rRNA from 1 species